rnacentral:rRNA from 1 species
UGGGGAAUAUUGCACAAUGGGGGAAACUCUGAUGCAGCGACGCCGCGUGAGUGAAGAAGUAUUUCGGUAUGUAAAGCUCUGUCAGCAGGGAAGAAAAUGACGGUACCUGACCAAGAAGCCCCGGCUAACUACGUGCC